AUCUGUCUCUUCCGGAGGACUACCAUCACACUAGCGUUUUUGUACCACGUGUUGACCAUGCAGGGCAUCAGUGUUGGCGCCGUUUCUGUUCAACACGUGGUAAGAAAAAGCUUUUGUGAUGGUCGUCCUCCGAAAGGGCCAGGA
rnacentral:pre_miRNA from 1 species